rnacentral:rRNA from 1 species
UACAGAGGGUGCGAGCGUUGUUCGGAAUCAUUGGGCGUAAAGCGCUUGUAGGCGGCCUGUCAAGUCGCGUGUGAAAUCCCUUGGCUUAACCAAGGAAGUGCGCGCGAAACUGUCGAGCUAGAGUCCGGAAGAGGCGAGUGGAAUUCCUGGUGUAGCGGUGAAAUGCGCAGAUAUCAGGAGGAACACCAAUGGCGAAGGCAGCUCGCUGGGACGGUACUGACGCUGAGACGCGAAAGCGUGGGGAGCAAACAGG